rnacentral:lncRNA from 1 species
GUGGAUUAUUAACCAGCUGCAAAGAGAGAAAAGAUCACCGUGAAAACCACCGAGAGGCACAGGCACAGCACACGGACACAACAUUGACUCUGGGGAGUUUCUUUCAGGGACAUCGAGCGAGGCAGGUGUUCCACCCCACUUUCUUGUUUGAGGGGAGAAGGAAACCAAAGCCAGUAGAAAUGGAAUUUAUGGCCUCCGUGCUCUCAGAGGGAGAAAAAAAUUCUCACUCAUCAGCCUAAAGAGAAACCCUGUCUUAUCCCAGAUUACCACCAUGGGAUUUAAAAUUCAGUGAGAAGACUGCUUGGGAAAUACUGUCUCCGAACUGCCGGUACAGACACUGCCCAUUGGUACAAUAUUUUUAGGUCAUCUGUCAAUUGCCAUGUUUGCAUUUCUUUCAUGCAAUACAAGUUGAAAUCAUAAUGAAUUUCUUGAGUUUCAGGAAUAUCUCAAAAUAAACUUCUUCAUCCUCAACAAAUGAUUAAAUUAUGUUCAGUUGGAUCUUAAUGUUGACUAUGGAUUUG